rnacentral:lncRNA from 1 species
GUCACAAACUGCCGUGGCAGCGGAGCGGUGGCCGUCGCCCCCUGCCGCCCGGGGCCCUCGCGCCUUGACCUCACUGGACACCUGUUGUUUGAGACCUUCCUGUGGCGGCACAGAAGUUUUAAGCUUGCCGCGACGGUUUCUGGGGCUAGGAUUUCAGUGCGCUGUACCUGCUAAGAGGGCUGAAAAGGCUUCGGUGCUUCUAGUCGGAUCACUGGGAAAGAGCUUUGGCCUGACAAGGAGGAACCUGCUGCUUCUGAUUGUGUAUGUAUUAACUUUGUGUUUGCUUGUGCUGAGUCAUGGGAACUUCCUGUCCUUAUAUUCACCUCUUGCCAUCACUGUCAUAUUCAGUCUCAUCUUUUUGAAAAGUAUUC